rnacentral:rRNA from 1 species
UACGGGGGGGGUAAGCGUUGUUCGGAAUUACUGGGCGUAAAGGGCUCGUAGGCGGCCAACUAAGUCAGACGUGAAAUCCCUCAGCUUAACUGGGGAACUGCGUCUGAUACUGGAUGGCUUGGAUUUGGGAGAGGAAUGCAGAAUUCCAGGUGUAGCGGUGAAAUGCGUAGAUAUGUGGAGGAACACCGGUGGCGAAGGCGACAUCCUGGACCGGUAUUGACGCUGAGGCGCGAAAGCCAGGGGAGCAAACGGG